CCUACGGGUGGCAGCAGUGAGGAAUAUUGGUCAAUGGACGAGAGUCUGAACCAGCCAAGUAGCGUGAAGGAUGACUGCCCUAUGGGUUGUAAACUUCUUUUAUAUGGGAAUAAAACGUUCCACGUGUGGGAUUUUGUAUGUACCAUAUGAAUAAUGAUCGGCUAACUCCGUGCCAGCAGCCGCGGUAAUACGGAGGAUCCGAGCGUUAUCCGGAUUUAUUGGGUUUAAAGGGAGCGUAGGUGGAUUGUUAAGUCAGUUGUGAAAGUUUGCGGCUCAACCGUAAAAUUGCAGUUGAAACUGGCAGUCUUGAGUACAGUAGAGGUGGGCGGAAUUCGUGGUGUAGCGGUGAAAUGCUUAGAUAUCAAGAAGAACUCCGAUUGCGAAGGCAGUUCACUGGACUGCAACUGACACUGAGGCUCGAAAGUGUGGGUAUCAAACAGGAUUAGAUACCCGAGUAGUC
rnacentral:rRNA from 1 species